AUUGAACGCUGGCGGCAGGCCUAACACAUGCAAGUCGAGCGGAUGAAGGGAGCUUGCUCCUGGAUUCAGCGGCGGACGGGUGAGUAAUGCCUAGGAAUCUGCCUGCAGUGGGGGGUAAAGUCCGGAAAACGGCGCUAAUUCCCCCUACGUCCGGGGGGGGAAAGCAGGGGGUGUUUGGGACUCACCCUACUAUAUGAGCCUAGGUCGGGUUAGCUAGUUGGUGGGGUAAAGGCCUAGCAAAGCGACGAUCCGUAACUGGUCUGAGAGGAUGAUCAGGCACACUGGAACUGAGACACGGUCCAGACUCCUACGGGAGGCAGCAGUGGGGAAUAUUGGACGAUGGGCGAAAGCCUGAUCCAGCCAUGCAGCGUGUGUGAAGAAGGUCUUCGGAUUGUAAAGCACUUUAAGUUGGGAGGAAGGGCAGUAAGUUAAUACCUUGCUGUUUUGACGUUACCAACAGAAUAAGCACCGGCUAACUUCGU
rnacentral:rRNA from 1 species